GGUUAGGUUUUGGUUAAUGACGUGAACAAUACCUGUCCAGAACCAAGUCUGCCUAGCUAAUAACCGGUUCUUACUAGUUUCUUUCUUCUUUAGUACCAAGGGAAAAUAAGUCACGUGCCAGAAUCUACUGCCCUCAUGUGAUGGAAAGUGAAGGAGAGCGGUGACACUGCGAGUAUUGUCGAUGCCACGCAAAAGCUGUCCAACUGGGAGCGGAACAGCUGCCACUCUCAAUGCGAUAAGUGUCUGUUGUGGUGAUUGCUCUGCUCACGGCCCUCCCUGCUCCUGGUAGGGACGCCACAUUAGCUGGGGCUGGGUUUGUAAGAAAAUGUUCUUGACUAGCUGUAGUUACGAAGGGCACAAGGUCCCCAUUUUCAGAGGCUGCUCAAUUCUCUGGCCAGGAGCGGCGAGUUCUCUGCAGCAGAAGGUUGGAUCCAGGAGGAUGACUGCAGGUGGACACAGGCAGGGUGCUAGGUGUGCAUCCUCACAGGCUAGGUCUUGGGAGCCAUGGAGAAGGAAGAGCAGAGAAAAAUCAUGAGGGGCAGUGGGUGCUGAGGUGGUGCGGUGACUCUGAUUACUCAUCUCUGUUCAUCGAGUCGGGCUCAGGUGCACUUCCAGAGGAAGUGUCCAGGAGCCCCAGCCCGAGGAGAAGCUGGCAGAAGUGGAUCUGAUCAGCCUGAACAUCCUUCUAAGCAGACAUGAGCAGUCCUCAGCUUUCUGCCUCGCACAUAACAACACUUCAUGACUUUUAGCAGCACGGCUGAAGCUUAAGAUAAAUGCAUGGUAGAGGCUGAGUACAGGCGGCUGCUUCACUUUAGUACCACAGACAAAGAAGUCAAGGGUAAGAGCCCACCCCUGUUAUGAGAUGGAAAGCGCACAAGAGCCGUGAGACAGCGAGCAUUGUUGAUGCCAGGAUAUGCAGAUGCCGUCGAGCUGGAAGUGGAGCAGCCGUGACCAUCAGUGAGGACACGGGCAGUGGUGCUAGCUGUGCAUCCCCGCAGGCUAGGUCUCGGGAGCCAUGAAGAAGUAGGAGGGGAUGAAAAUCAUGCUGGAC